rnacentral:rRNA from 1 species
AGUCGAGCGGUAGCACAGAGAGCUUGCUCUCGGGUGACGAGCGGCGGACGGGUGAGUAAUGUCUGGGAAACUGCCUGAUGGAGGGGGAUAACUACUGGAAACGGUAGCUAAUACCGCAUAACGUCGCAAGACCAAAGUGGGGGACCUUCGGGCCUCAUGCCAUCAGAUGUGCCCAGAUGGGAUUAGCUAGUAGGUGGGGUAACGGCUCACCUAGGCGACGAUCCCUAGCUGGUCUGAGAGGAUGACCAGCCACACUGGAACUGAGACACGGUCCAGACUCCUACGGGAGGCAGCAGUGGGGAAUAUUGCACAAUGGGCGCAAGCCUGAUGCAGCCAUGCCGCGUGUGUGAAGAAGGCCUUCGGGUUGUAAAGCACUUUCAGCGGGGAGGAAGGCGUUAAGGUUAAUAACCUUGGCGAUUGACGUUACCCGCAGAAGAAGCACCGGCUAACUCCGUGCCAGCAGCCGCGGUAAUACGGAGGGUGCAAGCGUUAAUCGGAAUUACUGGGCGUAAAGCGCACGCAGGCGGUCUGUCAAGUCGGAUGUGAAAUCCCCGGGCUCAACCUGGGAACUGCAUUCGAAACUGGCAGGCUAGAGUCUUGUAGAGGGGGGUAGAAUUCCAGGUGUAGCGGUGAAAUGCGUAGAGAUCUGGAGGAAUACCGGUGGCGAAGGCGGCCCCCUGGACAAAGACUGACGCUCAGGUGCGAAAGCGUGGGGAGCAAACAGGAUUAGAUACCCUGGUAGUCCACGCCGUAAACGAUGUCGAUUUGGAGGUUGUGCCCUUGAGGCGUGGCUUCCGGAGCUAACGCGUUAAAUCGACCGCCUGGGGAGUACGGCCGCAAGGUUAAAACUCAAAUGAAUUGACGGGGGCCCGCACAAGCGGUGGAGCAUGUGGUUUAAUUCGAUGCAACGCGAAGAACCUUACCUGGUCUUGACAUCCACAGAACUUUCCAGAGAUGGAUUGGUGCCUUCGGGAACUGUGAGACAGGUGCUGCAUGGCUGUCGUCAGCUCGUGUUGUGAAAUGUUGGGUUAAGUCCCGCAACGAGCGCAACCCUUAUCCUUUGUUGCCAGCGGUUCGGCCGGGAACUCAAAGGAGACUGCCAGUGAUAAACUGGAGGAAGGUGGGGAUGACGUCAAGUCAUCAUGGCCCUUACGACCAGGGCUACACACGUGCUACAAUGGCAUAUACAAAGAGAAGCGACCUCGCGAGAGCAAGCGGACCUCAUAAAGUAUGUCGUAGUCCGGAUUGGAGUCUGCAACUCGACUCCAUGAAGUCGGAAUCGCUAGUAAUCGUAGAUCAGAAUGCUACGGUGAAUACGUUCCCGGGCCUUGUACACACCGCCCGUCACACCAUGGGAGUGGGUUGCAAAAGAAGUAGGUAGCUUAACCUUCGGGAGGGCGCU